GACGAACGCUGGCGGCGUGCUUAACACAUGCAAGUCGAGCGGAAAGGCCACUUCGGUGGUACUCGAGCGGCGAACGGGUGAGUAACACGUGAGUAAUCUGCCCUUGGCUUUGGGAUAGCCACCGGAAACGGUGAUUAAUACCGGAUACGACCACUCCAGGCAUCUGGUGGUGGUGGAAAGUUUUUCGGCCAGGGAUGUGCUCGCGGCCUAUCAGCUUGAUGGUGAGGUAAUGGCUCACCAUGGCUUCGACGGGUAGCCGGCCUGAGAGGGUGACCGGUCACACUGGGACUGAGACACGGCCCAGACUCCUACGGGAGGCAGAAGGGGGGAAUAUUGGACAGUGGGCGGAAGCCUGAUCCAGAAACGCCGCGUGAGGAAUGACGGCUUUCGGGUCGUAAACAUCUUUCGGUAGGGACGAAGCGAAAGUGACGGUACCUACUAAAGAAGCACCGGCCAACUACGUG
rnacentral:rRNA from 1 species